rnacentral:rRNA from 1 species
GGGGAAACUGGGGAUAAUACCCUAUAGACUAUGGAGGCUGGAAUGCUCUGUAGCCGAAAGGGCAGCCGCCGUAGGAUGGGUCUGCGGCCGAUUAGGUUGUUGUUGGGGUAACGGCCCAACAAGCCUGUAAUCGGUACGGGUUGUGGGAGCAAGAGCCCGGAGAUGGAUUCUGAGACACGAAUCCAGGCCCUACGGGGCGCAGCAGGCGCGACAACUUUGCAAUGCGGGAAACCGUGACAAGGGAACUCUGAGUGCCCGUAAAAUCGGGCUGUCCAUCGGUUUAACUACCCGGUGAAGAAAGGGCCGGGCAAGACCGGUGCCAGCCGCCGCGGUAACA